rnacentral:lncRNA from 1 species
GAGCAAGCCAAUUCAGGAAAUGAUAGCAAAGUUGUGCAUCUCCUCCAACAAUAUGAGUAGAAAAUAAAAUGGGUUUGUUACUUUGAAUUGGGUGGGGCCGGUCCAGAGCAAUUAUGGAAUUAGCAGCCCAGAGGCUGUUUCCCUUUCCCCUCAAAAGUUCAUACCUCACCCAACACAGAUCUCACACUCUCAUAAUCGGUCUGCAAUCAUGAAGCGUGGUACCAGUGGUCUUGAAUCAUUCUCUACACAAAUUGGAGAUGUUUCAGCUGCCUCUUCAUUCCAUCUUCCCAAUUCAAGCGACAAAGUAAGAUCCAUGGAUUCACAGGGGCAGACAACUUCUUUGCAGCGACUUCAGAAUGUGGAGAAGAGAAUUGUGAAGGUUUUGGAACUUGCGGGAGGAGUGAUGGAUGAGCUUGCAAGCCCAGUAGGUCCUAGAAAAGAGUUGGUGCAGAACCACUGCCUGGAAUUCAUGCAAUUAAUAAAGGACAUUCAGGUGGCUUUGCGCGAUGAAAUCAAAAGUGCUUCUGAGUAUCGCCCCUUUGAGAAGUGCGACUAUGGUCCAAGAAUCGCCAAUGAGAUCUCUUUCAACAAACUCCAAUAUGUCCUUUCUCAAUUAGAUGCUAUCAAUCAAACUAUACAUCAAUCAAAUUGAUGUCUGUGCCGAUAAUGUACCAAUUUUACACAUUGUCUCCACCAUUCAUGUUUCAUCAUCAUCAUCAUCAUUAACUCAUUCAUUUUCCAAAGGAGCUAUAUAAUCCAAUUCAGAAGCACAAACUGCUGAUUGUUAUAUUUCAACUUUUGCAUCCAUGCCACUUGAUAUAUUAUUUAUGCUGUCCUAUAUGUUUUCAAGUUCCAUGAUUAUUACGGGGUGGUGUUCUAUUAUCAAUAUUUGAUUAUGCAUUUCCGUCCCUGAAGUUUUUCGGGGUGAACAAAUUUGUCCCUAAUAAAAUUUAAUUGACAAAUAGGUCCCAACAAAUCUAUCGAAGAGACAAAAUCGUCCCUACCGUUAAGUUGGGCCGUUAACUUCUACGCACUGCUAACGUGACACAAUCUAGGCAGGCUGUGACGUUGAUUUUUAUUUUUUAAAAUUUUCUUUUAUGAAAUGACGUAAAAAAAAUUAAAAUAAAAAGAAUUAAAAUUAAAAUUUAUUUCAAGAUGAGGUUCAUCUUCCCCUUCCUCUCAUCUCUAUUGGCUACUAUGAGAAGAUGAGGUUCAUCUUUGCCAGAAAGCAGGAACAACACCAGAUAUUUAUUACACCUAAGUCCUAACACUUGCAUCUCUGGGUUAGUUAUCUGCAUGACACUUCUUUGUUGGUUGUUGCAUUCAGAAGGGCUUCAGAGAGAUGAGGGGAGUUUAUUGUGUUCAUCGUCGAUAUGAGAGAAGCCAUUGAUGAUGCAGGAAAAAAUAAAAGAAAUCUAAACAAAAAAAUGACCUGACAUGUAAUGGCCGCAUAUCAUGCCUCAUCACAUAUCCACAUCACCCAACUACAUGCCAAGUGGAUAGUCUGUUAAAUUUAACAAUAAAAACUAAUGGCAUGUACUAAUUUGUUAUGUGUCUGAAUUUGUUGGGAAGUUUUUAUUAAUUAAAAUUUGUUAAGGACGAAUUUAUUCACCGCAGAAAAGAUUAGGGAUCGAAAUGGGUAAUCACUUUAUUAUUUAUACCGUCAUAUAUUGUAUGGUGUUCUAUUAUUACCAAUAUUAUUCUGUAUGGUGUUCUAUUAUUACCAAUAUUAUUCUGUAUGGUGUUCUAUUAUUACCA